UACGGAGGGUGCGAGCGUUGUCCGGAAUCACUGGGCGUAAAGGGCGCGUAGGCGGCGCGGGAAGUCCGUGGUGAAAGCCCGAGGCUCAACUUCGGGUCGGCCAUGGAUACUCCUGGUCUUGAGCACUGUAGAGGCAGGUGGAAUUCCGGGUGUAGCGGUGGAAUGCGUAGAGAUCCGGAAGAACACCGGUGGCGAAGGCGGCCUGCUGGGCAGUAGCUGAUGCUGAGGCGCGACAGCGUGGGGAGCAAACAGG
rnacentral:rRNA from 1 species